rnacentral:rRNA from 1 species
AGAGCGAACGCUGGCGGCAGGCUUAACACAUGCAAGUCGAGCGCCCCGCAAGGGGAGCGGCAGACGGGAGAGUAACACGUGGGAACGUACCUUUCGGUUCGGAACAACCCAGGGAAACUUGGGCUAAUACCGGAUACGUCCGUAAGGAGAAAGAUUUAUCGCCGAAAGAUCGGCCCGCGUCUGAUUAGCUAGUUGGUGAGGUAAUGGCUCACCAAGGCGACGAUCGGUAGCUGGUCUAAGAGGAUGAUCAGCCUCACUGGGACUGAGACACGGCCCAGACUCCUACGGGAGGCAGCAGUGGGGAAUAUUGGACAAUGGGCGCAAGCCUGAUCCAGCCAUGCCGCGUGGGUGAUGAAGGCCCUAGGGUUGUAAAGCCCUUUCGGCGGGGAAGAUAAUGACGGUACCGCAGAAGAAGCCCGGCUAACUUCGCGCCAGCAGCCGC